GAGUUUGAUCAUGGCUCAGAUUGAACGCUGGCGGAAUGCUUUACACAUGCAAGUCGAACGGCAGCACGGGAGCUUGCUCCUGGUGGCGAGUGGCGAACGGGUGAGUAAUGCGUCGGAACGUACCGAGUAAUGGGGGAUAACGCAGCGAAAGCUGUGCUAAUACCGCAUACGCCCUGAGGGGGAAAGCAGGGGAUCGCAAGACCUUGCGUUAUUCGAGCGGCCGACGUCUGAUUAGCUAGUUGGUGGGGUAAAGGCCUACCAAGGCGACGAUCAGUAGCGGGUCUGAGAGGAUGAUCCGCCACACUGGAACUGAGACACGGUCCAGACUCCUACGGGAGGCAGCAGUGGGGAAUUUUGGACAAUGGGGGAAACCCUGAUCCAGCCAUUCCGCGUGAGUGAAGAAGGCCUUCGGGUUGUAAAGCUCUUUCAGCUGGAAAGAAACGGUACGCACUAACAUUGUGUGCUAAUGACGGUACCAGCAGAAGAAGCACCGGCUAACUACGUGCCAGCAGCCGCGGUAAUACGUAGGGUGCGAGCGUUAAUCGGAAUUACUGGGCGUAAAGCGUGCGCAGGCGGAUUGUUAAGCAAGAUGUGAAAUCCCCGGGCUUAACCUGGGAAUGGCAUUUU
rnacentral:rRNA from 1 species